AUUGAACGCUGGCGGCAUGCCUUACACAUGCAAGUCGAACGGCAGCACGGUAGCUUGCUCCUGUUGGCGAGUGGCGAACGGGGGAGUAAUAGGUCGAAACCUGUCCUGUAGUGGUGGAUAGCCCGGCGAAAGCCGGAUUAAUACUGCUAACGCAUAACGGAUGCAAGCGAGGGACGUUCGUCUUUCGCGCUAUAGCGUUUCCCGAUGGCUGAUUAGCUAGUUGGUGGGGUAAAGGCCUACCAAGGCGACGAUCAGUAGCUGGUCUGAGAGGACGACCAGCCACACUGGAACUGAGACACGGCCCAGACUCCUACGGGAGGCAGCAGUGGGGAAUUUUGGACAAAGGGCGAAAGCCUGAUCCAGCAAUGCCGCGUGUGUGAAGAAGGCCUUCGGGUUGUAAAGCACUUUUGUCCGGAAAGAAAACCAGCGCUCUAAUACAGUCGGGGGAUGACGGUACCGAAAGAAUAAGCACCGGCUAACUACGUG
rnacentral:rRNA from 1 species